rnacentral:rRNA from 1 species
UGGUGGAGUGAUUUGUCUGCUUAAUUGCGAUAACGAACGAGACCUUAACCUGCUAAAUAGCCCGUAUUGCUCAGGCAGUACGCUGGCUUCUUAGAGGGACUAUCGGCUCAAGCCGAUGGAAGUUUGAGGCAAUAACA